rnacentral:rRNA from 1 species
GAUGAACGCUGGCGGCGUGCUUAACACAUGCAAGUCGAACGAAGCAUUUGCGACAGAUUUCUUCGGAUUGAAGUUGCUUAUGACUGAGUGGCGGACGGGUGAGUAACGCGUGGGUAACCUGCCUCACACAGGGGGAUAGCAGUUGGAAACGGCUGAUAAUACCGCAUAAGCGCACAGUACCGCAUGGUACAGUGUGAAAAACUCCGGUGGUGUGAGAUGGACCCGCGUCUGAUUAGCUUGUUGGCGGGGUAACGGCCCACCAAGGCAACGAUCAGUAGCCGACCUGAGAGGGUGACCGGCCACAUUGGGACUGAGACACGGCCCAGACUCCUACGGGAGGCAGCAGUGGGGAAUAUUGCACAAUGGAGGAAACUCUGAUGCAGCGACGCCGCGUGAGUGAAGAAGUAAUUCGUUAUGUAAAGCUCUAUCAGCAGGGAAGAUAGUGA